rnacentral:rRNA from 1 species
UACGGAGGGUGCAAGCGUUAAUCGGAAUCACUGGGCGUAAAGCGCGCGUAGGCGGUAAGAUAAGUUGGAUGUGAAAUCCCAUGGCUCAACCAUGGAACUGCAUUCAAAACUGUUUUACUAGAGUACUGGAGAGGAUGGUGGAAUUUCAGGUGUAGGGGUGGAAUCCGUAGAUAUCUGAAGGAACACUUAUGGCGAAGGCAGCCAUCUGGACAGUAACUGACGCUGAGGUGCGAAAGCGUGGGUAGCAAACAGG